rnacentral:rRNA from 1 species
UACGGGGGGAGCAAGCGUUGUUCGGAUUUACUGGGCGUAAAGGGCGCGUAGGCGGCCAGCACAAGUCAGUUGUGAAAUCUCCGGGCUUAACUCGGAAAGGUCAACUGAUACUGUGCGGCUAGAGUGCGGAAGGGGCAACUGGAAUUCUCGGUGUAGCGGUGAAAUGCGUAGAUAUCGAGAGGAACACCUGCGGCGAAGGCGGGUUGCUGGGCCGACCCUGACGCUGAGGAGCGAAAGCGUGGGGAGCGAACAGG